rnacentral:lncRNA from 1 species
UGAUAAUGAACCAUGUUAGUAAUUGAUCAAAUCUAAUUAAAAAAUUUUGAUUGGAUCAAUUUCUUCUCUUGAUCAAUUUUAAUAGUUGUAGUUGGUCAAGUCCAUAUCUUUGAUUAGAUCAAUAUGGACUUUGAUCGUAGCUCCGUGAUCGAAUCCAAGUCUAUAAAUUGAUCAAAUUGAAAAUGACUAACCAGUUGGUGUCUAAGGUAAGUAUGGCAGC